rnacentral:rRNA from 1 species
UGCCUUACACAUGCAAGUCGAACGGCAGCACGGGUGCUUGCACCUGGUGGCGAGUGGCGAACGGGUGAGUAAUACAUCGGAACAUGUCCUGUAGUGGGGGAUAGCCCGGCGAAAGCCGGAUUAAUACCGCAUACGAUCUACGGAUGAAAGCGGGGGACCUUCGGGCCUCGCGCUAUAGGGUUGGCCGAUGGCUGAUUAGCUAGUUGGUGGGGUAAAGGCCUACCAAGGCGACGAUCAGUAGCUGGUCUGAGAGGACGACCAGCCACACUGGGACUGAGACACGGCCCAGACUCCUACGGGAGGCAGCAGUGGGGAAUUUUGGACAAUGGGCGAAAGCCUGAUCCAGCAAUGCCGCGUGUGUGAAGAAGGCCUUCGGGUUGUAAAGCACUUUUGUCCGGAAAGAAAUCCUUGGUUCUAAUAUAGCCGGGGGAUGACGGUACCGGAAGAAUAAGCACCGGCUAACUACGUGCCAGCAGCCGCGGUAAUACGUAGGGUGCGAGCGUUAAUCGGAAUUACUGGGCGUAAAGCGUGCGCAGGCGGUUUGCUAAGACCGAUGUGAAAUCCCCGGGCUCAACCUGGGAACUGCAUUGGUGACUGGCAGGCUAGAGUAUGGCAGAGGGGGGUAGAAUUCCACGUGUAGCAGUGAAAUGCGUAGAGAUGUGGAGGAAUACCGAUGGCGAAGGCAGCCCCCUGGGCCAAUACUGACGCUCAUGCACGAAAGCGUGGGGAGCAAACAGGAUU